CUCGAGCUCGGCGCGGACCCGCCCGGGCGCGCUCCUCCCGCGGCUCCCGGCGUCCCGCCGCCCAGCCCGGAGCGGGCCCGCGGGCCCCGCCACCCUGGAGGGCGCCGCCGGCACCCGGCGCGGAGGCUCGCCGGCGGAGGUCGCUGCGGGGGGCUAGACCCCGGCGGCGCGCCGCUCUCCCCCCGCAGGUCUUCCUUUGAAAUAGUGGAUGGUGACUCGGCUCUUCUGCCUGAGAGUGGUUCAAAAUGUAAGUUAAACAACCCAAUAAUGAAAUAUCAGUAAUUCUGGAGCUCCAUGCAAAACAGUUUCUUAUUUU
rnacentral:lncRNA from 1 species